rnacentral:piRNA from 1 species
UGACUGAUUCUCCUUUUCUGGGCUGC